GUGGGGAAUAUUGCACAAUGGGCGCAAGCCUGAUGCAGCAACGCCGCGUGAGGGAUGACGGCCUUCGGGUUGUAAACCUCUUUUAGUAGGGAAGAAGCGUAAGUGACGGUACCUGCAGAAAAAGCACCGGCUAACUACGUGCCAGCAGCCGCGGUAAUAAGUAGGGUGCAAGCGUUGUCCGGAAUUAUUGGGCGUAAAGAGCUCGUAGGCGGCUUGUCGCGUCUGCUGUGAAAACCCGAGGCUCAACCUCGGGCUUGCAGUGGGUACGGGCAGGCUAGAGUGCGGUAGGGGAGAUUGGAAUUCCUGGUGUAGCGGUGGAAUGCGCAGAUAUCAGGAGGAACACCGAUGGCGAAGGCAGAUCUCUGGGCCGUAACUGACGCUGAGGAGCGAAAGCAUGGGGAGCGAACAGGAUUAGAUACCCUUGUAGUCC
rnacentral:rRNA from 1 species